GCUCCAGUGCUCCGGGAGACUUUAUAGUCCUGAGAGUUGAACACUGGAUGACUGACAGCCGUCCUUCAUGACAACAGAAGCCACAGAAAUCCUCCUCAUCAAAAACAUGACUUUGAUCUGCGUCCUCAUCUGGACUCUCCUCUGCUGCUGCUUCACAGAGUCCAGAGGCCAGGUCACAGUGACUCAGUCUGGAGCAGUGAGCUCUGCUCCGGGAGGCUCCGUCACCAUCACAUGUAGCACCAGUCAGGCGGUUAAUGGUGGGACUCAUUUAGCCUGGUACCAACAGAGAGAUGGAGGAACUCCUAAACUGCUUAUUUACAACGCUAUCACUCGACAAUCAGGGAUUCCAGCCCGUUUUACAGGCAGUGGAUCAAACUCUGACUUCACUCUGACCAUCAGUGGAGUCCAGACUGAAGAUGCAGCAGUUUACUUCUGUCAGAGUUUUCAUCUCAUCAACAGUCAGUAGGUGUU